AAGUCGUAACAAGGUUUCCGUAGGUGAACCUGCGGAAGGAUCAUUAUUGAAUGAACUUGGCGUGGUUGUUGCUGGCCCUCUCGGGGGCAUGUGCACACCCGCCAUCUCCAUCUCUCCACCUGUGCACCUCUUGUAGACUGGAAUAGACUUUCCGAGGCAACUCGGUCGGGAGGAAUGCUGUCGCUUUGCGUCGGCUUUCUUUGCACUUCCAAGCCUAUGUUUUUCAUAUACCCGUAGUAUGUAACAGAAUGUAUCAUUUGGGCCUCAGUGCCUAUAAACCAUAUACAACUUUCAGCAACGGAUCUCUUGGCUCUCGCAUCGAUGAAGAACGCAGCGAAAUGCGAUAAGUAAUGUGAAUUGCAGAAUUCAGUGAAUCAUCGAAUCUUUGAACGCACCUUGCGCUCCUUGGUAUUCCGAGGAGCAUGCCUGUUUGAGUGUCAUUUAAUUCUCAACCUUAUUAGCUUUUGCUGAUAAUGGCUUGGAUGUGGGGGUUCUCUUUUGCUGGCUUCUUUUCACAGAGGUCAGCUCCCCUGAAAUGCAUUAGCUGGUGCCCCGCGUGGACUGUCUAUUUGGUGUGAUAAUUAUCAACGCCGUGGAUGUCUGCAAUUGGUUUUGGCACUGCUUCUAACUGUCUGUUCAUUUGGACAACACAUGACAAUUUGACCUCAAAUCAGGUAGGACUACCCGCUGAACUUAAGCAUAUCAAUAAGCGGAGGAAAAGAAACUAACAAGGAUUCCCCUAGUAACUGCGAGUGAAGCGGGAAAAGCUCAAAUUUAAAAUCUGGCGGUCUCUGGCCGUCCGAGUUGUAAUCUAGAGAA
rnacentral:misc_RNA from 1 species